rnacentral:rRNA from 1 species
AGAGUUUGAUCCUGGCUCAGAUUGAACGCUGGCGGUAUGCUUAACACAUGCAAGUCGAACGGAAACGAUACUAGCUUGCUAGUAGGCGUCGAGUGGCGGACGGGUGAGUAACGCGUAGGAAUCUACCUAAUAGUGGGGGAUAGCCCGGAGAAAUCCGGAUUAAUACCGCAUAAUCUCUAUGGAGUAAAGGGGCCCUCCUCUUGAAAGGUUUCGCUAUCAGAUGAGCCUGCGUAAGAUUAGCUAGUUGGUGAGGUAAAAGCUCACCAAGGCGACGAUCUUUAGCUGGUCUGAGAGGAUGAUCAGCCACACUGGGACUGAGACACGGCCCAGACUCCUACGGGAGGCAGCAGUGGGGAAUAUUGGACAAUGGGGGCAACCCUGAUCCAGCAAUACCGCGUGUGUGAAGAAGGCCUGAGGGUUGUAAAGCACUUUCAAUUGUGAAGAAAAGUUA